GGGGGUGGCCAUUGGAGCAGAGGAGAGGAAAGCGGUCAUGGCCAAGGCUACCCCAGGACAGAAGAGCCUGGACAUGGGCCAUCUCCGCGGUUGCCCCUGCGAGUUGGCAACUUUUGACAGGGAAACAGCCUCAAGGACAAGGCGAGCUGUGACUGGAGCAGUUGCUAAGGGAUUUAGGAAGAGUCAGAUCCCACAAGACAAUGUGCGUUUGUGUGUUUCUCCCUCCCUCCCUCUCUCUCUCUCUCUCUCUCUCUCUCCUUUUCUCUCCCUUUCUCUCUUUCUUUCUUUCUCUCUCUCUCUCCUUUUCUCUCCCUUUCUCUUUCUUUCUCUUUUUCUUUCUCUCCCUUUCUAUUUCUCUUUUUCUCUUUCCCUUUCUCUCCCUUUCACUCUCUCUCUCUGUGUGUCUCUGUGUCUCUCUUUUUCUCUUUCCCUUUCUCUCUCUCUCUCUCCCUUUCCCUCCCCCCUCUCUUUCUCUCUCUCUUUCUCUCUUUCUCUUUCUCUGUCUGUUUUUCUCUCUUUCUCUCUCUGUCUUUUUAUCUUUCUCUUUCUCUCUCUUUCCCUUUCUCUCUCUCUUUCUUACUCUUUAUUUCUCUCUCUCUCCUUCUCUCUCUCUCUCUCCCUUUCUCUCUUUCUUUCUCUGUUCCUUUCUCUUCCUUUCUCUUUCCCUUUCUCUCCCUUUCACUCUCUCUCUCUCUCUUUCUCUCUCUCUCUCUCUCUGUCUCUCUUUUUCUCUCUUUCCCUUUCUCUCUCUCUCUCCCUUUCCCUCCCCCUCUCUUUCCCUUUCUCUCUCUCCUUCUCUCUUUGUCUGUUUUUCUUUCUUUCUCUCUCUGUCUUUUUCUCUUUCUCUUUCUUUCUCUUUCCCUUUAUCUCUCUCUUUCUUACUCUUUAUUUCUAUCUCUCUCUUUCUCUUUCUCUCUCCUUUUCUCUCCUUCUCUCUCUUUUCCUUUCUCUCCCUUUCUCUUUCUCUUUUUCUCUUUCCCUUUCUCUCCCUUUCACUCUCUCUCUCUCUUUCUCUCUGUCUCUCUGUGUCUCUCUUUUUCUCUCUUUCCUUCUCUCUCUCUCUCUCCCUUUCCCUCCCCCCUCUCUUUCCCUUUCUCUCUCUCCUUCUCUCUUUCUCUUUCUCUCUCUUUUUCUCUCUUUCUUUUUCUUUCUCUCUCUUUCUGUCUCUGACUUUUUCUCUUUCUCUCUCUUUCCCUUUCUCUCUCUCUCUUUCUUACUCUUUAUUUCUCUCUCUCUCUCUUUUCCCUUUUUUCUCUUUCUCUUUCCCUUUAUCUCUCUCUCUCUCUCUCUGUCUGUCUUUGGCCGAGUUUUGGGGAAAGGGGAGUCUAGGUGGUUAGAAAAGUGGGGGGGGGGGGUAUUCUAAAGUAUUCCUGUUAUUUGUCUUUUUGGAGGACCAAUUCAUCUUCGUUAAAUUCAAGUUUUAAAAGUACGAAUGUACCACUGAGCACACUGAUAGGUGGCACACUCAGCCUAGAGAAGGUCCUUCCUGGACUGAACAAUGUCUGAAUGGAGCAGCUGCAGGUUCCAAGAGAAGGAUAAGAGAGAAAACCAGGAGGCCAAAGGAACUAUAGAUGGAAUCUGAAGGCCCACGAACCCACACAUCGCA
rnacentral:lncRNA from 1 species